GAAAUGCGAUAAGUAAUGUGAAUUGCAGAAUUCAGUGAAUCAUCGAAUCUUUGAACGCACCUUGCGCCCGCCAGCACUCUGGCGGGCAUGCCUGUUCGAGCGUCAUUUCAACCCUCAGAACCCCUUGCGGGAUCUGGCGUUGGGGAUUGGCAUCCAGCCAGCCCCGAAAUCUAGUGGCGGUCCCUCCGCGACCUCCCCUGUGCAGUAGCGAUACCUCGCAGCGGGACAGCGGUCUGACCACGCCGUAAAACCCCCAACUUCUCAAGGUUGACCUCGAAUCAGGUAGGAAUACCCGCUGAACUUAAGC
rnacentral:misc_RNA from 1 species